AACAGACUAUUAAUCGCCAACAACUGAAGGUAGAUCACCAUACUAAAGACCAUGGGGACUUACAAUACUUUUGCUCCUAGCAUGGAGCCUAGCUGGAUUUACA